rnacentral:lncRNA from 1 species
CCAUCCAUUCAUUUUCGUUUUCCCUCCUAACCUAAUUCAUCUUCAUUUUCCCUCAUUCCCUUCCUAAAUUUCUCUCUUUUCUAACCCUAAUCUGUCUCCAACUUUACCACCACCAGCAACAAAAUUAUGAGAAUGAAUCCCCUCGCAUAUGAGCUGGUGACUGACGAAUAACCACCGCUUCAAUCUAACCCCCAAAAUUUGGUGACCGAGUCUUAAAUCAACAGGGAGUUAGGAACCUGCAUCAAGGAUAUCCAAUUGAGACUAUGAUCAAGUUUCUUAAAGCGCAAGACGUGAACAUCUCUAAAGAUCAUAGCAUGGUUAAAUCAAAAUCACUCUGUUUACAUGUGCAUAAACAUAUAAUUUCUGCAGAGUUUUAUAGACCGUGAGGGACUAGAAGCUUAUAGAGAUGUCAGGUUAUGUGACAACUCGUACUUCAGAACCUAUCUUUGUGUUUAAUGUAACGUAUGUGAACUUUGUGUGAUUAUCUGAUAUGUUGGUUUAAUGAAUGGUUUAAAUGAAAUAUUAUGUUUAUAGUACAAUGUGUGUAUAAUAUGUAUAUAUAUAUAUGUUGUUGCACAACUCAACUCAACCGCACAACGCUCGGCCGAUCGCACAAGCCUUUGGGCUUUGGUUCCACAUCACUCUCGGCCGACACUCUUGUGUAAUCGAACCAAGGGGCAGCCCAUGUAAAGGGGUUCGGCCCACUCUCUUAUAUAUAAACCAACAUAAACCUUGUGAGAUUUAGGUUCCUUAUUACUUGCAAAACGCAACACACACACAAACCCUAGCUUUCCUCUUCUCUCUUUUGUUCGACGGCUGUCCCAUCAUUCGAAGUUCUCCCAUCUCGAUCAAGAUAGCCCUUUGAUUUCUGAUCACACAAGUCUCUUGAUCGCACAAGAGGUUCCGGUCGCACAAGACCGAACGCACAAGGGAAUCGCACAAGUUAAAUAAAUAGGGUACAACAGCUAAAGCAUCCUGUAUAACCUCCUAAAGCACAGUCGCACAACAUCUUGUGGAUCGCACAAGAUUGUGCUGAUCGCACAAGAUGUUGGGCCGCCCAACAUAAUUUAUUAUUUUAAGCAGGUGGGCCGAACAACCCAAAAUCCGAUCACACAAGUUAAAUGAACCGCACAAGAUUAGUUGACUGUUAAAUGUUUGGGCCACACAAGUCUUUGGGUUGCAUGAUUAUUUGGGCCGAGUUUGGAUCGAAUCGCACAACCCAUUGUGGAUCGCACAAGUUAUGCUGAUCGCACAAUAGGUUGGGCCGGUUGUCAUUGGGCUUUAAUAUUAAAUCGCACAAGAUGAUUGGGCUCGCACAAGCUCAACAACCCAAUCACCUGAGUCGCGCAAUUUGGGCAUUAUGUGUGUACUUAACUGUUAACGUGAUUCUACGUGUUUGCCAUGAUCAAAACGUGAUAUAACCUGUUAGUUUAUGUGUAAAACUUAUGUGCACUACUUGAACCUAUACCUGACUUGUAUGGUAACCAUGUUAGGACGUGGUUGAGCACUAGUAGCUCAAUCGACCCUUACUUAUCUGCCGAGCUAAUCUAAGGUGAGUUCACACUUUUCUACAAAGCAUGGGAAUUCUCAGGGGUUGGGAAUGGGUUAAGGAAUAGGGAUUCCUCGUCCUGUUGGGACGUGUUCAGGAAUGUGAAUUCCUCCUCCUAUUGAGACGAAUUUAGAUUUACUAGACUAGAACUCUAUCAACGAAGUCCCUCCUUUUAUAUCGACUUAAUCGCCGAGGCAAAUGGCGAGCGGGUCAUUAGUUAAAUAGCGCUAUUAGGUUUAACAAACCUCACACCGUGCCGCUGAGGACAGGCGUGAACUAAUGGACUAGGCACGUCAAUGAUGAUAGACAUUGACGAGGGCACAUAAACAUGACGAACGUUAGUAGUCGAUAUGGUAAGGAGUUUGGUAAUUUAAACAUGGGGUAGCCCCCACGGCCGAAGAGCCGGGCUGGAAUAGCCGAAGUAAAAAAAACGGGUUAACUAAUAAACGUUUUCGAACUAUGGGGUAACCACCACGGCUGAGCUGCCGGUUAAGAUUCAACUGUGUUUUCGGAACAACUCUAAAACGGACAACCAACUGUGAACUCGCUCAACUUGUUGUUGACUCGUUACUACAUGCUUUGCAGGUCAUUAGGUUUAGCAGGAGCUUGCAUAGAGAAGAUUCGUUGUGGAGCAUGGACAUUGAGUGUUCAUGAUAAACUUAAAUAUUUUUGAAUUUAUGAUUUGGGUUUUGAACUAUUUGCUUCCGCUGAUAACUUGACUUGUUAAACUGUUUAUUUGGGACACCAAUUAUACUGUGUGAUUGAACUUUUAAUUACUUUACUAUUUUGUUCAAUAUGAUUGGUGGCUUGAUCCUGGUCAUGUCACGCACCCAGCAGUGAUUUUCCGCGUGUGGAUUUCGGGGGUGUGACAGAUUACACAAAAGAUGUUUGAAGAAGCACACCAACCGCUCGAUGAAAUGCUUAACCAAACUGACUACUUAUUACAUAAUGAAAGAACAAGCUAAGGCAUCUGUUUGAGAUAUUGGUUACUCUAAAGCUGCUGGCUUUUUAACGUUCAUUCAAGAUAGGAUAAAAAUAUGUUCGAAUUUGCUAGUCAGUGUAAAAUAAAUUUACAAUAUGUGGAAUGACACCAUAUAUCACAUAAGAGGAAAUCGACACAUGCGGCAUUUCAUUAGAACCAGCCCAACUAGGAAGCCGCUAGAGGACCAAAGACAACAAAAACAAGGAAACCAAUGGAAAAAAAAUUCAAGCAUUAUAUUACAUGAAAGUAAAAAGCCGCCAGCUAUCGGCAUCAAGACCCAUGAUCCCAGCUCUGUUUGACAACCCGAAAGCCUUAAUCUCUUAGACAACUUGAGCCGUAGACCUCCUAAGAUGGUUAAAAUUGAGGGUGUUUCUAGUUUUCCAUAGAAACCACCAAGCGGCGAGGAUCAUGGAUUGAAUAGAUCGAUUUUUACUUUUUCGGCAAGCUUAAAAAUGAGUGCAGAGUCAACAAAUCUUAGCUGUAGUCCUUGAUGAUCCUGUGCUUGCAGGUGUACCAAAGAAGCCAACUCUACCAGAUGUUGACACCCUGAUCAGCUUGGAACUCUGUAGUGCUAUGCAUGUUUCUGUAAUUAAAUUAGACAACACAUCUUUUGUGAUGAAUUCAGCAACAGUCAAGGAUUUGAAACUAGCUGUCAAGAAAAAGGUCAAUGAAAUGGAGCAGUGAAAGAUGGGUCAUCGCCACAUUUCUUGGUUGGGAAAGGAGUAGAGGAAUACUCGGCUGCGGAU